UGUUUGGUGGGGUUUUCCUUUGUUUUUGGGCCCAAACCAUUCGGUCUCAAAGCCCAGCCCGUGCAUUGAAGCCCAGCCCUCUCUAUUUUUACUCAUGCGGCGUCUUUGUCUAGCAGCCCUUGGGGCUUUUCAUUCUAUUUUCUUUUCCUUCUUCUCGUCUGCCACACGUUGCUUUCUUCUUCUCUUUUCGUUCUUCCUUCUCUUCAUUUUGGUCUUCUCCUUCCUCAAGCCGUGCGCCACUGCAGCUUCUCUUCUUCUCCUUUUCUUUUCAUUCCGUUUCUUUCUUUUCCUCUGCAUUCUUGCACCGCUCAAGCCUUUCUCUUCUCCAAAAAUAUUUUGUGCUAUGUUCUUCCAUCGACAGCUUCUUCUCCUUCAUUUCUUUUUCUUCUUUUUGUCAUCUGCUACUAGGUGAGUGCCAUAACUCCUCCAUUUUCGUUUGGGUUAGUUUUCCUUUUUAAUUCUUUGUUUUGGACUCUAUAAUUUUCUACAAAAACGACUGGUUCUUCUUCUCGCACUUGUGUUUUUAUUUUCUCUAGUUAUAUUUUUCUGCAGGUCGGUCGAAGCCUCAUUUCGCACCAUCUUUCCUCUUCUUCAUUUCUUUUGUAUUCCUUGUUGUGUUGCGUGAAACCCUUGCAUUUACAUUUGUUCUUUCCCCUCAAAUCGUACCCUAUUUUUUUAGCUCCCAAAAUCAUGCUCUGUUCUUGGCUGAAACCGUGCAUCUCCCCUUCUCUCCUUGCUUUUUAUUUUCGUCUAUUUUGACUGGUUUUGCAGGUCCGAACGUGAGCUCUUCAAGGCUCAGCUUUUCUCUUUUCAGUUGCUCUUUGGUAUUUCGAAUUGUGCUUGUCAAAAACCAUUGUUGUUCUCAUGUUUUUCCCUCAUCCGUGCUCUCUGUUUAUGGACCGUUUCCAUGCUCUAUUUUAGCGCAAACCCGUGAGCUUCAUUUUGGUUGCUUGGUUAUUGUCCUCAUGCCGGGAACCUCAUUUUCCAGCCACCACAUUCUAGAUUUCAUCUUGUAAAUCAGCCAAUUUUCUUCCUCGUAAUCUCCCUUCAAAUUUCCUUGUUUUAAGCCCUUUUUUUGGCUCAAAAUCGAGGUUCUUGGUGAUUUUAUUUUGGGCUUGCUUUUGGUCGUUUAAUCGGGUGCAUAAUCUUUCAAAAAUAUUGCCUUUAAAGCGCUGUAGGUAUUUUCCCAAAUGAUCUUUAAGAUUUAAAUAUAUAUUUUCUUUAACAAUACUUUGUGAUUAGUUUGUUGUGCCAGACUGAGUUCGAGCAGUUUGAGGGUCAGAUGGAUUGGAGGACGGAAUUAUUUAUACGUUUAGUUGAUGUUCGGAUUUAUUGAAUAUAUUUGUGUCUUGUCUUAUGCAUUGCAUGGUGUACGUAUGUUCAUGAUUGUAAAAUGAAAAUUGAGUUUUCAUGUGUUUAAUGAAUUUUUGGGUGCGUAUAUAUCACGAAUCCAAGCCGAGAUGAGACAUUAUAUUAGUAGAGUUUAUCUGGUCACUCAGGAUUUGAAUAUACUGAGUGAUGUCCCAUGGGUUGUCGCUGGGCGACAACAGGCUCGGACGAUACAGUAAUGCUAUCGUGCUGGCUCCGUGGCCCCUCUACUGGCGGGGGCUAGAGGAUGCUUGGUCAUGGUACUCGCUGGGCGCGGAGUUGGGUAUCGCUCGUUAUGAUGUCACAUGCGUGGUCGUUACCUACGGUGUGACAUUGAGAGCCAGGGUGUGCGGAUGAUCCCUAUGGGAGAUUAUGGUGCAUAUGGAUAAAAUUGGAUAUUGGUCUUGAUAAAUUGGAUAAUGGGUCAUUUUUUGGAAAAAUUGUGGUUUUUAUGUUGGGCCAUUUUUUUGAGAAAAUGACGGUUGCUUUAAUGGAUUGGAUUUCUGGGCCAAAAAAGGAAUUUUUGGCUUGCGUUGGAAAAUAAUUAUUUGGAGAAAUUACGAUUUUCAGAUCUCAUGCAUCUAUCAUCAUGUGCAUGUAUAUUGUUAUUGUAUGAAUGUAUUUUUUUCUUAUUGGCUGUUUAGGUUAUUACUUAGCUGCGACAUCGUUUCUUGGUAUUGUAAAUUUUAAUAUAGAUGAUGAGGAGGCUAAGCCUGAGGAGGUGGUUUCGCCGGAGGAUUGAUUUGGUGCUCUUGCUUAUUUAUUGGAAAUUAUUUCCCUGUUUUAAAAUUAUGUAUUUUGGUUUUAUGAUGUUACUGGAAAUUUGUAAUAUUUUGAUACGCUUGUGUUUAAGCGAGAUUGUGUUUAAACAAAUUCUAGUACUUAGUCGACUAACUUUUAUUAUCCGUUGCGUUGUUUUUAUUGUACACUUAUUGCAUGUACACACACUUGGCACUUAGCGAUGGGAUGCGUGAUCCGUGUUGUUAUCAUCCCGGAUACCUCGAUUCUCGAGUUUCCGUACAUGGGGGUCGGGGGUGUCACAAAGGAUAUGAGGACGAAGCAAGUGCUACUUAAGGGCUCAAUGGUCGAAGCAAGUGCUACUUAAGGGCUCAAUGGUCGAUGGCUUGUAUCCAAUCCAAUUACGGCAACAUACAAAUUCUCCAGUUGGUCUGCUAUCAACUAAAGUACCUAGCAACUUGUGGCAUGCGUGGCUUGGACACCCUCAAUCUCAAAUUCUUCAACUUUUUUGUUUAUCAUCUUUUAAUAAAAAUGUUGCAUUUUGUGAAAGUUGUGUUUUGGGUAAAUCAACAAAGUUACCAUUUAGCUAUUGAGAGACAUAUGCUACUACCUUUUUACAUACUAUUCAUACUGAUAUGUGUGGACCUGCCAUAGUCCCCUCCUUUGAUGGGUUUCGAUUUUAUUUAAUCAUUGUCGAUGAAUAUUCUUGAUACAUAUAGCACUUUCCUAUGGCUCAUAAAUCUGAUGUCCCAACUAUAUUUCCUGCAUUUCUUCAAUGAAUGGUUAACCAGUUCAAUACUUGUGUAAAAAUAAUUCAAAGUGAUGGUGAUGGCAAAUUUGUUAACCAAAGUUUACAAGAUUAUUUUGUAGCCAAUGGCAUUAUUCACAAAUUAUCAUGCCCUAGGACACCAAAGCAAAAUGGAUUGGCCAAACAUUGGCAUCAGCAUAUUGUGGACAUUGGUUUAACAUUAAUGGCUCAUGCCUCCAUUCCAUCACGAUUUUGGACAGUUGCAUUUACCACUGCAGUAUUUCUUAUCAAUCGGCUUCAAACUUCUAUUAUUUGAAACAAGUCUCUUUAUGAACUUGUUUUUGGAUCGCCACCAUCCUAUACUCUUCUACGAGUUUUCGGGUGUGCAUGUUACCUAUUACUUACUCCUUUUGGAAGGUCCAAACUGGACUAUAAAUCCAUCCGUUGUGUGUUCCUAGGAUACUCUACACAUGACAAAGGUGAUUAAUGUUUAGACAUGCAAACUAGUCGCAUAUAUAUAUCUCUUAGCAUGUAACAUUCGAUGAAUUAACAUUCCCAUUCAGGUCUACACAGGGGUGCACUAAAUCAAAUUUUCAAGCCUUCAAAGUUCGUGCUCUUCCCAGGCCUCUUCAAAUUGUUGAUUUGCAAUCUAUUCCAUUGGACUCUUUACCUACAGUUGCCAAUCAUGUUGACCGUGUGCAUUCUUCAUCUCCUAUUGUUCAAAACUCUGCAUCAAUGCCUCAGUCUGCACCAUGCCAAGAGCCUCAUACUAACACUAUCAUUCAGGAUGCUUCAAAAUUGUCUUCUCCAGCAAUUGAGGCCAUCUCACAAUCUGCUUCACGUCGAACUCACCAUAUGAUCACAUGGGCUCAAAUAGGUACAUUAAAGCCUAAGGUUUUCUUCUUUUCAAGACAUCCAGUACCUGCAUGCUUUCUAGUUGAUCUUGCAAACCAACCACAAGAGCCUCGAAUGUAUAAGCAAGCUCUCAUUGAUCCGAAAUGGCGGCAAGCUAUGCAAGCUGAAAUUAAUGCUCUUCAUAGCAACAACACGUGGACUUUGGUGCCUCGAAGACCAAAUAUGAAUCUCGUUAGCAGCAAAUGACUCAUCUCAUCCUCAUCAUGUUUGCCAACUGCAUAAAGCUCUACGGAUUAGAACAUGCUCCAAGAGCUUGGUACAUGAAGUUCAGUAAUUAUAUUCAACAAAUGGGUUUCCAUAGAUGUCCCUAUGAUCAAUCCUUGUUUUCUUGACGUCAAGGUUUGAAUAUAAUUGUGCUUUUAAUUUAUGUUGAUGACAUACUUAUAACAGGGAGCUCUCCUUAAAAAAUCA